rnacentral:rRNA from 1 species
UACAGAGGGUGCGAGCGUUAAUCGGAAUUACUGGGCGUAAAGCGUGCGCAGGCGGUUUUGUAAGUCUGUCGUGAAAUCCCCGGGCUCAACCUGGGAAUUGCGAUGGAGACUGCAAGGCUAGAAUCUGGCAGAGGGGGGGUAGAAUUCCACGUGUAGCAGUGAAAUGCGUAGAUAUGCGGAGGAACACCGAUGGCGAAGGCAAUCCCCUGGGCCUGCACUGACGCUCAUGCACGAAAGCGUGGGGAGCAAACAGG